GUUGUGUCCGAUGAAAACUAAAAACAAUAAAUAUUAAAAAUUCUCUCUCUCUUUAAAAAAAAAGAAAUAUGUUAAUUCUAGGAAAUUGAGAAUAUAGAAUUAAAAAAAAAACAAUUCUGUAAGCUUAAUGGUUCUUUGCCUACUCGUUUAAAGAAACAAUGGCAUAUGCCCUAUAAAGGGCCUUUUGAUGUUCACUGAGGAACAGUUCAGGGAUCAGGGUAAGUGCCAAUUCAUCUUGAUCACAGGGGCUCUGGCCUACCCAAAGAGGAGGUCAAAUCUUUCUUUCCCCACUACUUGCCUCCUACUAGGAGCUGAGGGGCUGGCUCAGGUGAGGCCUCAGCCCUCCUGCUGUUAGUACCUUGUCUUUUCCAGAACUGGACCUGGAUCCUGAAAAUACAGUCAGAUCCCCAGGUCUGCUCUGAGAUCUGAGGUCUGUAGCAGCUGUAACCUUAUCCUACUGGUUGAGAUGGAUGUGGGGAGGGGGUAGGUACCUUAAUUUCUGUCUGCCCAAGUAUCCAGCCAUUUCCUGCUCGUUUUCUUCCUGAAGUAUCAGAAGAACCAGGCUUUCUCUGACUAGGAAAGUUUGUUAGCAAACUCCCAUUGGAGCAAAUGAUGACUGUCAGUAUAUGUAACUGAGAAGGAUCCCCAGGACCUGCUCCCUGAGCCCAGUAGAUCUGCUUCACAGACCUCCUAUGUUCCCCUAGGAGAAGAAGCACCCAAAAAUUUAUUGAAGGAACUUGUAAAGAAUGUUCGUAUGACAUACAGAAAAGUAUACAAAUCCUCCAUGUACAGCCAGACGAAUGAUCCCAAAGGGAACACUCUGCUGGAAUUGCUGCCUAUAUCAAGAAAUGGAACAAUCAAGCAGCUGGCGACUUCUAAAGAGAUGCUCCUUGUCACGGCACCUGGCUACAUUCAAAACUAGUUUUCUGAGACAAGGUUUUAAAUGACUGAAUUGUCUGGAAAAGUCAUACUUGAAUGAACAAGUUGUCUGUUGAUUUCUUUGUACCGUCUU
rnacentral:lncRNA from 1 species